rnacentral:rRNA from 1 species
GGAUAACGUCCGGAAACGGACGCUAAUACCGCAUACGUCCUACGGGAGAAAGCAGGGGACCUUCGGGCCUUGCGCUAUCAGAUGAGCCUAGGUCGGAUUAGCUAGUUGGUGGGGUAAUGGCUCACCAAGGCGACGAUCCGUAACUGGUCUGAGAGGAUGAUCAGUCACACUGGAACUGAGACACGGUCCAGACUCCUACGGGAGGCAGCAGUGGGGAAUAUUGGACAAUGGGCGAAAGCCUGAUCCAGCCAUGCCGCGUGUGUGAAGAAGGUCUUCGGAUUGUAAAGCACUUUAAGUUGGGAGGAAGGGCAGUAAAUUAAUACUUUGCUGUUUUGACGUUACCGACAGAAUAAGCACCGGCUAACUCUGUGCCAGCAGCCGCGGUAAUACAGAGGGUGCAAGCGUUAAUCGGAAUUACUGGGCGUAAAGCGCGCGUAGGUGGUUCGUUAAGUUGGAUGUGAAAUCCCCGGGCUCAACCUGGGAACUGCAUUCWAAACUGACGAGCUAGAGUAUGGUAGAGGGUGGUGGAAUUUCCUGUGUAGCGGUGAAAUGCGUAGAUAUARGAAGGAACACCAGUGGCGAAGGCGACCACCUGGACUGAUACUGACACU